AGGGGACUGAGGGCAGAGUGGAUGACUUCACUCAGUCACACCCCCCCCUGAGGGGACUGAGGGCAGAGUGGAUGACUUCACUCAGUCACACCCCCCUCAUUCCCUAUAUAGUGCACAUGUUGCCCAGGGCCCUAUAGUGGACCUUCUGUUAAGCGCCCCCCACCAACAGACAGUAAGUACAGCUGAGAUGCAGUUCCUGAUAUUGUCUGAUUUUUUUUAGAUCACAAACCAGGUCCUAUUCUUUCUGAGGGGACUGGGGGUAGAGAACCUCAUUCAGGGCAGGUCCUAGUCUUUCUGAGGGGACAGAGGGUAGAGAACCUCAUUCAGGGCAGGUCCUAUUCUGUCUGAGGGGACUGGGGGUAGAGGAGAACCUCGUUCAGGGCAGGUCCUGUUCUUUCUGAGGGGACUGGGGGUAGAGGAGAACCUCGUUCAGGGCAGGUCCUAUUCUUUCUGAGGGGACUGAGGGUAGAGGAGAACCUCGUUCAGGGCAGGUCCUAGUCUUUCUGAGGGGACUGAGGGUAGAGGAGAACCUCGUUCAGGGCAGGUCCUAGUCUUUCUGAGGGGACUGAGGGUAGAGGAGAACCUCGUUCAGGGCAGGUCCUAGUCUUUCUGAGGGGACUGGGGGUAGAGGAGAACCUCGUUCAGGGCAGGUCCUAUUCUGUCUGAGGGUAGAGGAGAACCUUAUUCAGGGCAGGUCCUAUUCUGUCUGAGGGGACUGGGGGUAGAGGAGAACCUCGUUCAGGGCAGGUCCUAUUCUUUCUGAGGGGACAGAGGGUAGAGGAGAACCUCGUUCAGGGCAGGUCCUAUUCUGUCUGAGGGGACUGGGGGUAGAGGAGAACCUCGUUCAGGGCAGGUCCUAUUCUUUCUGAGGGGACUGGGGGUAGAGGAGAACCUCAUUCAGGGCAGGUCCUAUUCUUUCUGAGGGGACAGAGGGUAGAGGAGAACCUCGUUCAGGGCAGAUCCUAUUCUUUCUGAGGGGACUGAGGGUAGAGGAGAACCUCGUUCAGGGCAGGUCCUAUUCUGUCUGAGGGGACUGGGGGUAGAGGAGAACCUCGUUCAGGGCAGGUCCUAUUCUGUCUGAGGGGACUGGGGGUAGAGAACCUCAUUCAGGGCAGGUCCUAUUCUGUAUGAGGGGGCUGAGAGUAGAGGAGAACCUUAUUCAGGGCAGGUCCUAUUCUGUCUGAGGGGACUGAGGGUAGAGAACCUUGUUCAGGGCAGGUCCUAUUCUGUCUGAGGGGACUGGGGGUAGAGAACCUUAUUCAGGGCAGGUCCAAUUCUGUAUGAGGGGACUGAGGGUAGAGGAGAACCUUGUUCAGGGCUUGAGUUCAUAAAGAAUAUCUGAUCUAGUCCGACCUCUUCUUAUUCAUAACAUCCUCCAUCAGCACUCCUACCGAAACACCAUGAAUAGAGGCCCUGACGUUCAGGACAUCCUGACAACGUUCUGAGGGACAGGGGUACCUGACAACGUUCUGAGGGACAACCUGACAACGUUCUGAGGGGCAGGGGUACCUGACAACGUUCUGAGGGACAGGGGUACCUGACAAUGUUCUGAGGGGCAGGGGUACCUGAC
ensembl:lncRNA